UACGAAGGGGGCGAGCGUUGUUCGGAUUUACUGGGCGUAAAGGGCGCGUAGGCGGCGCAACAAGUCACUUGUGAAAUCUCCGGGCUUAACCCGGAGCGGCCAAGUGAUACUGUCGUGCUAGAGUGCGGAAGGGGCUACUGGAAUUCUCGGUGUAGCGGUGAAAUGCGUAGAUAUCGAGAGGAACACCUGCGGCGAAGGCGGGUAGCUGGGCCGACACUGACGCUGAUGCGCGAAAGCCAGGGGAGCGAACGGG
rnacentral:rRNA from 1 species